rnacentral:rRNA from 1 species
UACAGAGGGUGCAAGCGUUAUCCGGAUUUAUUGGGCGUAAAGCGUUUCGUAGGCGAUUUGGUAAGUUACACUUCAAAUUCCAGGGCUUAACCUUGGGCAGGGGUGUAAUACUGUCAAAAUUGAGAAAUUUCGGGGUUUAUCGGAACUCUCGGUGUAGGGGUGAAAUCCGUUGAUAUCGAGAGGAACACCAAGGGCGAAGGCGGAUAACUAGGAAUUUUCUGACGCUGAGGAACGAAAGCUAGGGG